AGAUUUAUAAAUCAUAAGAGUGAUAAAACUAUUGCUUACAUGCAAAAAAGAUAAAUAAGGUUUUUUUUUGAGGGAUGGUAAAUAUGGUUGAAAUUGUCAAGUUUGUUUGUAUUAUAAAUAUCUUUAUUUUUCUAUUUCUUGUUGCAACGAACGUUGAAGCUAGUUUUACUAGAUGCUUUAGAGACUCAAAUUGUCCAAAAAGCUUGUGUCAUCCUCCUACCAAACCGAAGUGUAUGUACAAAUCCAUAUGUAAAUGUAUACGAGAGUUCUCCAAAAGAGAUUAUGUGCAUACAUGAGCAUGUAUGUUUGCCAUACCUAAGAGCAUACACAAAUUAUAUUCCUUCUUGAAUUUUCCAUGAGAUGUUAUUUUGUUAUUGUGUUGGCACUCCAAUAGUUUAAUUUUUUCUUUUUUCUAAUUUCAAGAACCAUGUAUUUAUGGAAUUCUAAUCUAAGAUGAUGGUAAUGAAAUGAAAUAAGACAAUAAAUAAUAAUAUUUUGAAUGUUUUGUUCGCUUUUAA